rnacentral:lncRNA from 1 species
GAACCCUAUCAAAAAUCUAAAGGAGUUUGGUGCAACCGAAGCCAGAGAAAUAUCCAGAAAUCAGAAAAGAGCAAUGACAAAAGGCGACAGAGGAAGCCGGAGUCCGGCAUGAAAGACCUCCUGGUACAGGUAGAAGCAGUCGGGGGGAGGGGCACUAGCCUGAUCGGAUGGGCCAGGAAGUUUCAGUUCGUACUUCGAAGGAACCCCAUACUGAACUCUUAUCAGUUGGAGUUCGUCCGGAGUCAGAGAACAAGGAAUGGCAUCCGAUGCAAAAAUCGGACGAGGUUCAGCUCUACCUACCGGUUCACCUACCGCCUG